AUUGAACGCUGGCGGCAUGCUUUACACAUGCAAGUCGAACGGUAACAGGUGCUUGCACUGCUGACGAGUGGCGAACGGGUGAGUAAUGCGUCGGAACGUGCCGAGUAGUGGGGGAUAACGCAGCGAAAGUUGUGCUAAUACCGCAUACGUCCUGAGGUAGAAAGUGGGGGACCUUCGGUCCUCACGCUAUUCGAGCGGCCGACGUCUGAUUAGCUAGUAGGUGAGGGAAAGGCUCACCUAGGCGACGAUCAGUAGCGGGUCUGAGAGGAUGCUCCGCCACACUGGGACUGAGACACGGCCCAGACUCCUACGGGAGGCAGCAGUGGGGAAUUUUGGACAAUGGGCGAAAGCCUGAUCCAGCCAUGCCGCGUGUCUGAAGAAGGCCUUCGGGUUGUAAAGGACUUUUGUCGGGGAGGAAAUCCCCAGCGUUAAUACCGCUGGGGGAUGACAGUACCUGAAGAAUAAGCACCGGCUAACUACGUGCCAGCCGCCGCGGUAACAC
rnacentral:rRNA from 1 species